rnacentral:piRNA from 1 species
UGGUCUGUGUGCUUAGAAAGACUCUA